GUCUCAGAGUCCUUGUGGUUGAAAAGCACUCCUUUGGUUUGAUGUUUCCACCAACAUACUACACUUUUGGAUGGUAUUGCGCAGGUGAAAUGCUUUAAAUUGGUGCCAAACAGUUCAAUCAUCAUUUCAUCAGACCAUAUAACCUUGUUUUGCUCAGCCUGAGAGUCUUUUUUUCUUGCAAAUUCAAAGUGGGCUUUCAUCUGACCAAUCUGCCAUAAAGGCCAGAUUAGUGGAGUGUUGCAGUGAUGGUUGUCUUUACACGAGUUUCUCCCAUCUCUACAUAUCAUCUCUGGAGCUCACCCAAAAUGACCAUUGGGUUCUUGGUCACAUCUUACGCCAAGGCACUGUCCACUUGGUGAUUUCUCAGUAUGGCUAGGCAAUCAUCUCUAGGGAGAGUCCUAGUUGUUCCAAACUUCUUCCGAUUUAAGAAUUAUGGAGGCCACUGUGCUCUAUGGAAUAUUCAAUGCAGCUGACAUUUUUACAGCCAUCCCCAGAUAUGUGCCUCUAC